rnacentral:tRNA from 1 species
GCCAGUUUGGCUCAGUGGAUAGAGCAUCAGCCUGCAGAUUGAAGGGUACUGGGUUCGAUUCCAGUCAAGGGCA